rnacentral:lncRNA from 1 species
UACUGAUGAAGAAACCAGGUGUCAGAGAGGUUAGGUAACUCCCCUGAUAUCACACAGCUGAUAAGGAGCACAGCCCACAAUCAGACCCAGGGCUAUAAAUAAUGCCAACGUGAGAAGAGGCAAUUCUCACUUCCUGCCUUUGGGAGAGAACUCCUGAUUGUGCUUUGCCAGGAAUCCACUGGCACAAAUUUACUUUUAAAGUUUGCUGGACUUGUGCUCAUUCUACUAAGGACUUGCUUUAUUGGCACAUUGAGUAUUUGCUGACAGUCUCCUGAUUCACUUCUUUAUGCCUUGGCUCCCAUAGAAGUUUUUCCUACGUACUUGGCAUUUAAGAAGCUCACACAGCCACCACUAUAGUCUCAGUUUGGAAGCUGGUGAACUCUGUGUCCUGCCUGGGGAAACGGCACCUGAUAAGAAGAUUCCAGAAUCACUUUUGGGGUCGCGCUCCUAAACAAUUGGAGGGAAAACAACAAACAUCUUCAAGCCAUCUUGAGACUUUCUCCUCCACAGGCAGCUCUUUGGAGUGUUCAGCAGUGUGAAUGAUACCAAAAGGCUGACCCCUUCACCCACCUGUACUUUCUUCAGUUUG